rnacentral:lncRNA from 1 species
GUGGGCUGAAUCCAGAAAAGGGAAGAUUGGCAUCCAGAGUGUUUGGAGAGUGGGCCCAUAAGAGAACAUUGUGUGUGUAUGUGUGUGUGUGUGUGUGUGUGUGUGUGUGUGUGUGUGCACGUGCACGCACGUAUGUGUUGGGGGCUGUGUAGCUUCUCCUAACUUCACCAUGCAGAAGUCAAGGAAACGGUUACAGAGGCAAAAUGUGGGAGUAGCUAAUGGCAAUGGCCCAGAGAGAUGAAAAAAUGUGAGAAAACCAAAGCUUGGAGGUAGGAACUUUCCGAUUCUUUUGGAGUAGACUAAGGUGACUUAAGUAGGAAAAGAACGCAUAGCCAGUAACUCUCCCAACAGAACUGGAUUCGUGCCUGGGGUGAUUCAGGAUGUCCAGUUAAGCUGGGAAAUACUGAUUCCACUGAUCCCCUUCAUUCACUCAGAGCAGACCGAAGACUGUGAGACUUCCUCCCCACAGUGAGCUAAAAGGACGCUUUUGUCAGAGUGGGGAAAUAAAAGGGCUUUAUGGGAAGGAAGAUAAGAACAGAUGAGUCAGAGGUUUCUGCUUAAUGCUCACUCUUCAAUUCUUUCCCGAGCAAAACCAAGAAUCUUCUUGGGCUAAGCCCCAAUUUGGGGUUCACCUGCCUUGCAGCAACAUGGCACCAAACAUGCGGCAGAAGAGAGAAAACGACAGCAUGAGAGACGGAGAAAGAAAUGGCCAGUUGGCAAGGUGGUAAUGAGAGACAGCAGUUGGCAAGACAGUGAGAGACAGCAAGAGAUGGUGGUACAGCCAAGCAGACAGGCAAGUAAGUGGCCAUACUGCUACUGCCUCAUGUAGGAUCCGGCAGGCUGGUGGGUUAUCAGUCCUCACGUGGGACCCUCCCACCAUGGCAGCUGAGCACAUCCAAGCUGGGGGAUCCUGAAGAGACCUUCACCUGGGUGCCACGUGGAAGAUUGGCCAGCACCAUUUUGACUCCUGUGGAUGGCACCCAAACUGCACCUGGUCACCUGUCUACAUUCAGAUUUAGAUGAAAGCCACACCAUGGAGGCAGCCAGAGGCCCAUGGGAGAUGUCUGGAUUCGCAGAGGAAUAGCUCCAUGUGAUGCAAACCUUGACUAAUGGGAACAGGAAAAGGGAGGAAACCAGGAAGAUAAAUCUCCCUCCCUUCUCAUUGCUCCUUGCAACCCUUCCCACUUGAAGCAUGACCACAUUUAAUGAACAACCUGCUGUGUCUCUUGGAAGCUUGCUGCAAGGCAGCAAUCAGCACAAUAACAUUGUAUUGUAUCUUCCUCUGCUUCACUUCUCUUCCUCCCUCACCCUCACUGCCCUGAGCUGGCACAUCCCAAAGAAAGCAUUACCACAUUAAUCCUUGUCUCAGACUCUGCUUUCAAGAGGAUCUAGGUGAAGGAAAUUCCUAUUACUCCACCUCUUCAUCACCUCUUCAAAUGUCAGACUUUAAAAAUGGUGUCAUUUUGUUGAGUGUAUCUCAUUGUGGUUUUAAUUUGCAUUUUCCUGAUUAUGAAUGGGGUUGGCUAACUUUUCCUAUGUUUAUUGGAUUUCUUCAUUUUUGAAGUGCUUGUUUAAGUUUUCUACUAAUUUUUCUAUUGGGUUGUCUUUUUUUUUUCUUUCUUUCUUUUUAAGACAGAAUCUUGCUCUGUUGCCCUGGCUAGAGUGCAGUGAUGUAAUAAUAGCUCACUGAAACCUCGAACUCCUGGGCUCAAGCAAUUAUCCCAUCUCGGCCUCCCAAGUAGCUGGAACUACAGGUGUGCACCACUACCACCAUGC